UACGAAGGGGGCGAGCGUUGUUCGGAAUUACUGGGCGUAAAGCGCGCGUAGGCGGCUUUGUAAGUUAGAGGUGAAAGCCCGGAGCUCAACUCCGGAACUGCCUUUAAGACUGCAUCGCUAGAACGUCGGAGAGGUAAGUGGAAUUCCGAGUGUAGAGGUGAAAUUCGUAGAUAUUCGGAAGAACACCAGUGGCGAAGGCGACUUACUGGACGACUGUUGACGCUGAGGUGCGAAAGCGUGGGGAGCAAACAGG
rnacentral:rRNA from 1 species